rnacentral:tRNA from 10 species
UGCGUGUUAGCUAAAUAGGUAUAGCACUGUGCUACGACCACAGUUAAUGUAAGUUCGAAUCUUACACGCGUAA